AUAGUUUGUAGAAUAGAUUACGAGCGCCGGAGGCAAAUUUUUUUGAAAUUUCAGUUUGAAACUAAUAAACAAUUUCUCUUCAGACAGUAAUUGUCCAUUCAGUGACUGAGCUCAGCGCCAAAUUUUUCCAGCGCCAUGGGCACGGUACCGAAUUUCCCAUAGGGUAAUCCG